GUCCAGGGCCGUAACUGCCGAUGAGGCAGACGAGGCAACUGCCUCGUCUGAUUUUUUGGCAAAAAAGAAAAUAAAAUUAUAUAAAUGUUAUAUUAUAGGAUAUAUGUUUAAAAUGAAGACAAGCACCUUUGUCUUUGACACCAUAUUACGAUUCUUUACAUAGUACAAAUGAAACACAAACAUGAUAAAUUGGGAUUUAAAAAGUGUCAUUUUCAGUCGUAAAGUCAAUCGGCGGCCCCCAAUCCCCUGCCUCCCCUGAUUUAGAACCCUACUUACGGCCCUCAUUGUGUGAUUACCUUCGCUAUUAAAACUCUAUUUACGGACAGCUUUGGUACCAAACAUGAAAGACAAGAUUUAUCGUAGCAAUGUUAAAACCACUUGGGUAACUGCUUGGACAUAGGUGACUAAAGGUGUUCAAUUAAAAAAAUUGUCCGUUGUUUGGACAUGCAGCUUAGGUGUUCGUAAAUCUCGUCCAUACAUACACCGAUCAAACUGUCCUGUGUUAUCGGCCGAUUCAUGCACGGCAUUUACCUCUGUGAAUAUUCUAAAAUCCCCUGAUGCGCACGUGAUUUUAGUGCCAUCAUUUAGCGUUGUAAAUGAAAUCUUCGUGCAUCAUUAUAUUUUUUUUAUGUGGAUUGCGCUUAAAUUGUUCUCCGUGUUUAUCGUUGGUGAGAAAAGUGUGUAAGUGUUGGGUAUCGUGUGCGUUUUGUGUCUAAAGUUUUGUUGUUUUUUGGAUGGGAUUUUUUUUUUUUAUUGCGUUGUGUAUUGUGUAAUUAGCGAACUUAAUAAAAACGAUGUUUUGUUAUUUUUUUAAUACGAAUGUUGAAUACGAACCGGAACGAGUUAUUGAGAGAAAUUUACAUGAACGCAUUGUUUUAAAGUUGAACAAAAUGGCGGUCCAAACGAAUGCAGAAAAGCAACGUUUAUCAAAACAUCCUUAUGAAUCCUACACCAGAAAUAAAGAAAAGGGAUAAGAA